GGGGAUUUAGCUCAGUGGUAGAGUGCUUGCCUAGCAACCGCAAGGCCCUGGGUUCAGUCCCCA
rfam:Rattus norvegicus chromosome 8, whole genome shotgun sequence.